GUAGUUUCUGAAAACACAACGUUGGAUUUGGGCUAUCCCUUGCCCUGCCGGGCUGCACGCUUCCCCCCACCCCAAACUUCCGCUUUGUUUGUGGAAAACUUCGAAGGAGUCUGGAGUAAUGGUUAACCUGCAGAUAUGAUUUAGAUGAUGUGCGGAAUUCCUGGACUUGAAUAUGAACCCACAACCUCUGAUUCAGAAGCAAGAAUGGUACCAACUGAUUGAAGCUAUCAAUAAGAGGAAUGGAAAACGUUGCCAAAUAUUCAAAGUGCGGUAUUAAAUGAUCAACAGGGAUAAGGACAUGAUCUUUCCACCAGCCAGCUGGAAAAUAUCCAGGCAUGUUGCCCAAUACAAGGAGACAGAAUGGCGGAGCAGGUGAGCACCAGAACCAUGGCUGCAGUGCAAGAAAAAGUUCAAUGACUUCAUAAGGUUAGCUAAGGACAUGCUUGCACGCAGUAAGAGGGAGCAGGCAACCAAAGGCAGAGGGAUACUAUUCAUCCAUGUGCUGUUCCCAAUGGAAGGAGAGAUGAUGGACAUUGUGGACAGGAGGCACAUCUGAGGAAUUCCCCAUGAACACACAGGCGGACUUUGCAAAAGACUUCAGUCUGUGAUCUAAAGAAAUAAAGGAAAGACUAUAUAAAUAAAAUCCUUGGCUGUGAUUAAAAAUCAUCUGGAUGGAUGUGCAGAAUAUAGGCAGGCUCAGCUUUGGCAGCGACUUAGCUAAAUUGUG